CUCAACAAAGGAAGCUUAACAUACAUUUUAAUUUAUUAAAUGUACUUACUGUCUUGGUGUGUUGAAAUAUUGCCGCUUGGGUUGCUAGCGCAUUCUACCAAAAGAUCUUUGGUAGUAAGUUAAUCUUUCAACUGCGCAGACUCCCGAAAAAAAAAAAAAGGCCAAAAAAUGGUGACACUUAUGGAGAGGUUAUGGAAACAGGCAUUACGUACAUUUUCAAAGCGAAAUGUACUUUCACAGCAGUCAUUCGAAGAGAGCUUUUUGGUACUGAAAUCAUUAGCUGAUGCUGUAACUGCUGCGGACGUUAAACUUGACCUGAAGUUGCUGGAAAGGCAUCCCUUAGGUCCUCUGAGCAGAAGAAAGCCACCUGUGACUUACAUCGAAAUAUAUGAGGAUGAUAAUGUUACUAUUGGAAUAUUUAUUUUAAAAGCUGGCGUCAAAUUACCCUUGCAUGACCACCCUCAGAUGUACGGUAUUUUGAAAGUGAUUUCAGGAACUGUUACCAUCCAGAGCUAUAGUGUUGUACCAAGUGAUCGCAUAAGUCCUAGAUGUGGUUCUGAAGCCAAGUGUGUGUAUGCAGAAAAACUCCCAGAAGUGACAGUGAAUCAGAGUGAUAAUUCAUGCACUCUAACGCCUACAGAACGAAACCUGCAUGAAAUAAGAAGUGUAGAUGGCCCAGCAGCAUUUUUGGAUAUCCUGGCACCUCCUUAUGAUUCAGAGACAGGUGACUCUGAUCUGACAGAUCGGUCGUGUCAUUACUUCGUCGAAGUGCCGUGGACAAGUGAUGUUUGUGACAAAAAUAUCAAGAGGCUGUGUGUCAUACCCAGUCCACCAGAUUUCUGGAGCGAUUCUGCGCCGUAUAACGGCCCAGAAUUACGGGCAUCACUGUACAUGUUAGUGCCUCCUUGGUGCAGGCCACACUGUCUUGUGAGUGCCACCUAUUGCUGACCAUGGCCAUCUCCAUAAUGGUAUUGGAUCGAGAGCCUGUGUUGUCAUUAUACCGGAAUUCAAGAAUGUUGAUCGGGAUAGUGUUUCAUCGUGGCUGCAGAGGAAGAAGUAAAAUUUGGAUCCCAUGUAAGGCUGUAGUGAAUAAAUACAAGAAAGUUUCACAGGAAACUCUUUAGGGAAGGAUGUGAGGCAUAGGAUUAAUGGUGAAAUAAUUAUGAGAGAAAUGGAUACUGACAAGGGAUAUUAUAAUUUCAUAAUUUGAUAUAAACUGUCUGCCUGAAGAUAAUCAAGAGGCUGUAUCUUUUGUGUUGAACAAGUGAUUUCACUGAGUGUAUGCUGUCAGUAUUUAAUCAGUUCAACUGCGUGGGGUGCCACGUUUUCAGUUCACAUAUUAUGAAGUGCAAAAUAAAUAAAAACAUCAUCAAAUGACUGUAAUACUCAUGAAACUUUGAAUGGAUGUAACUUUUUUGCUCGGGGACUGUGUAUAUAAAGUGCAACUCAGAGUGUAAAUAUUAAUAAGAAUAGUUAAACAGCUAUUCCAUGCUGAACUGGCUUGUAUGUCUUUUACAAGGAACGUGAGACUGUAAGUCUAUAAAGUACUUGUUUCAUAAUUAUAUUUUGGUUUGUAUAAUUUUUGACAGAAAAAUACCUCAGUAUUAAGUUUAGUUAGAAAAAUCUAAGAUUUCAUUAAGUUUGUAAUUUUAAAGUGUCAGCUCCCUCCACAACCACUGCCUGAAAUGGUCUUGUGCUCAAAUUACUCAAAGGGCAAGAUAACUUUGAUGAUUGUCCGGAGACAUGACAAUUUGAAUAGUUAAAUUUGUCUGUGUAGACAAAAUACUAGUGCAGUUGUGAAAGUGUAACUAAUACACUAUUGCAGAAAGUGCAUGUAAGAAUGAGAGCUGGUUCUCUGUGAUUUUUUAAAAAAAUCUUUAUCAAAUAAUUUCUUUGUAAUUCCAUGGGCAUGUUUGUUAAAUUAUAAGGUGCAUAAGUCUAAAUUUGACAUUAGAGCUUUCCAGUGGUACCUACAAAAAUCAAAAUUAAUUGAUUUUGUGUUGGUUGAACAACAUUUUCUAAUAGUAAGUAUUAUGCAAAAAGGUAAUUGAUAAAAGCGUAGAGAUGCAAAAUGCAGCAAUUGACUUUAAUUGUGACUUAAUUUUUUAUAGUAAUACUUUUUACCAUAGCUGCAUGAAAAGCAAAAUUUAUUUCAUAAUUGAUAAGCCCUUCCAUAACCUGGCUCACGACAAUUAUUGAAAAGAUGUACUGUUUUCAAUAAGAUCUCAUCUUUGCCAGUGGAGGGUAAUAAUGCAUCUUAUCAACAUGUUUUGUUCCUUUGUGGAGCUUCGCUGGCUAGAAAUACAAAACCCUUAUAUUAGUUAAAGUUAUUGGGAAAGUAAUCAAGCUCAAGCGAUAUGUUACAAAAGUGACAAAAAUAAGGUCUUUUAUGUGUUUCUUUCUUUCUCUGUGGUAAAUGCUAUAUUAGCAUAAUUUACCAGAAUUCUACCUCAUAGGUGCUAUCCAAUUCAUUGAAUUAACAUUGCAAAGUUCUACACGAGGACAUUAUUAAUUUGAAAUUCAGUAUAUUAUUAUUUCUUUCUGGUAUUCCUUUUGAAAUGGGCAUUGACAGUGUUGACACCUAACACACUAAAUAAUUUUGUGUCCAGUGUUCCUGGCUUUCACUUCUCUGUUAUUGUAAACUACAUUGCACCAUUCUGAUUAACUUUUUCUGGUUUUUCAGCAAUAUUUUCAGAUUUAUGGCUCUUAUUCUGGGUAACAGAUUUUUGAAUAUAUCUAAAGAAAAAACAUUCAUCAGUAAUCGGUCAUGAUUUCUUGUUCUAUGAAAACAUGUGAUAUUAUUGAUAAGUAAUAAACUGUCUGUACUAAAGCAAAUUUGUUUUAAUAGUGCAUUUGUGAUGUAUAUCCAUUCUGCUUUUGAUUAUUCUAUAAUGUGGUCCAGAUAUAGUUGUAAAAUUAAAAUUUUAGUCUUGAUGAAGAACUACCCAUUGUGUAAAUUGUUUAUAAAUUCCAUAAAUUUUGACUUGAUGUAUAGACUGCUAAAUUCUAAAAAGAACAAAUUGUUAGCACUACAUUUGGAAGUAGUUCUAAGUGUGAAACCCAGUGUACAGUUCAGUAUUCAGUUGCUAUCAAUCAUUGCAGUAUAAUUUCAAGAACCAUAAAUUAUCAAUUAAAGCAGAACAUUGAUUUGUGAGUACAAUUUGCUGAAGGAAAUACAUUACAUAUGUUUUUGUAUAAUUAACAUGAUAUGAUUAUGAUAGACCGUGGAAGUGCAUUGUUUGCAAGGUUUGGUACGACAGCUAGUGCAUAACUGUAUAUCUACUUGUUAAUGAAAAUAUUUAUGAAAUUUA
rnacentral:misc_RNA from 1 species